rnacentral:rRNA from 1 species
AUACGUAGGUGGCAAGCGUUGUCCGGAAUUAUUGGGCGUAAAGCGCGCGCAGGCGGUCCUUUAAGUCUGAUGUGAAAGCCCACGGCUCAACCGUGGAGGGUCAUUGGAAACUGGGGGACUUGAGUGCCGAAGAGGAAAGUGGAAUUCCAAGUGUAGCGGUGAAAUGCGUAGAGAUUUGGAGGAAAACCAGUGGCGAAGGCGACUUUCUGGUCUGUAACUGACGCUGAGGCGCGAAAGCGUGGGGAGCAAACAGGAUUAGAUACCCUGGUAGUCCACGCCGUAAACGAUGAGUGCUAAGUGUUAGGGGGUUUCCGCCCCUUAGUGCUGCAGCUAACGCAUUAAGCACUCCGCCUGGGGAGUACGGUCGCAAGACUGAAACUCAAAUGAAUUGACGGGG